rnacentral:rRNA from 1 species
GACGAACGCUGGCGGCGUGCUUAACACAUGCAAGUCAACGAGAAUUGAACCGCUUGCAGUUCAAGGGCAGUGGCGAACGGGUGAGUAACGCGUAGAUAACCUACCUUUUAGAUUGGGAUAAUCCAUGGAAACGUGGACUAAUACCGAAUGUAGUCUUAAGGUCGCAUGAUUUUGAGAUAAAAGAUCUUGAAUCGCUAAAAGAUGGGUCUGCGUGACAUUAGCUAGUUGGAGAGGUAACGGCUCCCCAAGGCAUCGAUGUCUAGCUGGUCUGAGAGGAUGAUCAGCCACACUGGGACUGAGAUACGGCCCAGACUCCUACGGGAGGCAGCAGUGAGGAAUAUUGCACAAUGGGGGCAACCCUGAUGCAGCAACGCCGCGUGUACGAUGACACUAUUCUGUAGCGUAAAGUACUGUUAAUCGUGACGAACAUAGAGGUUUGCAGCCUUUAUUGACGGUAGCGAUAGAGGAAGCUCCGGCUAACUCCGUGCCAGCAGCCGCGGUAAUACGGAGGGAGCGAGCGUUGUCCGGAUUUAUUGGGCGUAAAGGGCAUGUAGGUGGUACAGCCAGUCAGUUGUUAAAUAUUACGGGCUUAACCGUAUUCUGCAAUUGAUACUUCUGUUCUUGAGUUUGUGAGGGGAUGAUGGAAUGCCUAGUGUAGCGGUGGAAUGCGUAGAUAUUAGGUAGAACACCAGUGGAGAAGUCGAUCAUCUGGCACAAUACUGACACUGAUAUGCGAAAGCGUGGGUAGCAAACAGGAUUAGAUACCCUGGUAGUCCACGCCGUAAACGAUGGGCACUAGGUGUCCGGGGACUAGUCCCCCGGGUGCCGCAGCUAACGCGUUAAGUGCCCCGCCUGGGGAGUACGCCGGCAACGGUGAAACUCAAAGGAAUUGACGGGGGCCCGCACAAGCGGUGGAGCAUGUGGUUUAAUUCGAUGCAACGCGAAGAACCUUACCUGGGCUUGAACCGCAGAUGACGUUAUUAGAGAUAAUAAUUUUCUAGCAAUAGAACAUCUGUAGAGGUGCUGCAUGGCUGUCGUCAGCUCGUGUCGUGAGAUGUUGGGUUAAGUCCCGCAACGAGCGCAACCCUUAUCAUUAGUUGCCAUCGAGUAAUGUCGGGGACUCUAAUGAGACUGCCUACGUUAAGUAGGAGGAAGGUGGGGAUGACGUCAAGUCCUCAUGGCCUUUAUGUCCAGGGCUACACACGUGCUACAAUGGGCGGUACAGAGCGACGCUACACCGCGAGGUGAUGCAAAUCGCAAAAACCGUUCUCAGUUCGGAUCGCAGUCUGCAACUCGACUGCGUGAAGUCGGAAUCGCUAGUAAUCGCGGAUCAGCAUGCCGCGGUGAAUACGUUCCCGGGCCU